GAUGAACGCUGGCGGCGUGCCUAAUACAUGCAAGUCGAGCGAACAGACGAGGAGCUUACUCCUCUGACGUUAGCGGCGGACGGGUGAGUAACACGUGGAUAACCUACCUAUAAGACUGGGAUAACUUCGGGAAACCGGAGCUAAUACCGGAUAACAUGUUGAACCGCAUGGUUCAACAGUGAAAGACGGUCUUGCUGUCACUUAUAGAUGGAUCCGCGUCGCAUUAGCUAGUUGGUAAGGUAACGGCUUACCAAGGCAACGAUGCGUAGCCGACCUGAGAGGGUGAUCGGCCACACUGGAACUGAGACACGGUCCAGACUCCUACGGGAGGCAGCAGUAGGGAAUCUUCCGCAAUGAGCGAAAGCCUGACGGAGCAACGCCGCGUGAGUGAAGAAGGUCUUCGGAUCGUAAAACUCUGUUAUUAGGGAAGAACAAAUGUGUAAGUAACUAUGCACGUCUUGACGGUACCUAAUCAGAAAGCCACGGCUAACUACGUG
rnacentral:rRNA from 1 species